GAUGAAGAACGCAGCGAAAUGCGAUAAGUAAUGUGAAUUGCAGAAUUCAGAGAAUCAUCGAAUCUUUGAACGCACAUUGCGCCCGCCAGUAUUCUGGCGGGCAUGCCUGUCCGAGCGUCAUUUCAACCCUCGAACCCCUCCGGGGGGUCGGCGUUGGGGAUCGGGAACCCCUAAGACGGGAUCCCGGCCCCGAAAUACAGUGGCGGUCUCGCCGCAGCCUCUCCUGCGCAGUAGUUUGCACAACUCGCACCGGGAGCGCGGCGCGUCCACGUCCGUAAAACACCCAACUUCUGAAAUGUUGACCUCGGAUCAGGUAGGAAUACCCGCUGAACUUAAGCAUAUCAAUAAGCGGAGGA
rnacentral:misc_RNA from 1 species